AAGUCGAACGAAGCACUUUAUUUUAUUUCUCUCGGGAUUGAUUAUUUUGUGACUGAGUGGCGGACGGGUGAGUAACGCGUGGGUAACCUGCCUUGUACAGGGGGAUAACAGUUGGAAACGGCUGCUAAUACCACAUAAGCGCACAGCAUCGCAUGAUGCAGUGUGAAAAACUCCGGUGGUAUAAGAUGGACCCGCGUUGGAUUAGCUAGUUGGUGAGGUAACGGCCCACCAAGGCGACGAUCCAUAGCCGACCUGAGAGGGUGACCGGCCACAUUGGGACUGAGACACGGCCCAAACUCCUACGGGAGGCAGCAGUGGGGAAUAUUGCACAAUGGGCGAAAGCCUGAUGCAGCGACGCCGCGUGAGCGAAGAAGUAUUUCGGUAUGUAAAGCUCUAUCAGCAGGGAAGAUAAUGACGGUACCUGACUAAGAAGCACCGGCUAAAUACGUGCCAGCAGCCGCGGUAAUACGUAUGGUGCAAGCGUUAUCCGGAUUUACUGGGUGUAAAGGGAGCGCAGGCGGUGCGGCAAGUCUGAUGUGAAAGCCCAGGGCUCAACCCUGGUACUGCAUUGGAAACUGUCGUACUAGAGUGUCGGAGGGGUAAGCGGAAUUCCUAGUGUAGCGGUGAAAUGCGUAGAUAUUAGGAGGAACACCAGUGGCGAAGGCGGCUUACUGGACGAUAACUG
rnacentral:rRNA from 1 species